rnacentral:rRNA from 1 species
GACGAACGCUGGCGGCGUGCUUAACACAUGCAAGUCGAACGGUGAUCGAGGGAGCUUGCUCCCUCCGGAUCAGUGGCGAACGGGUGAGUAACACGUGCGCAAUCUGCUCCGAACUCUGGGAUAAUCGCUGGAAACGACUUCUACUACCGCAUACGACGCGGUACGGCAUCCUCCCCGCGUGGUACGAACUUCGGUUCGGGAUGGGCGCGCGGCCUAUCUGCUUGUGGGUGCGGUAACGGCUCACCAAGGCGCCGCCGGGUAUCCGGCCUGAGAGGGUGACCGGCCACACUGGGACUGAGACACGGCCCAGACUCGUACGGGAGGCAGCAGGGGGGAAUAUUGCACAACGGGCGCAAGCCGGAUGCAGAAACGCCGCGUGAGGGACGACGGCCUUCGGGGUGUAAACCUCUUUUAGCAGGGAAGAAGCGAAAGUGACGGUACCUGAAGAAAAAGCACCGGCUAACUACGUG